GACGAACGCUGGCGGCGUGCUUAACACAUGCAAGUCGAACGGAAAGGCCUGCUUUCCCUUGUGGAUUGCGGGUACUCGAGUGGCGAACGGGUGAGUAACACGUGAGUGAUCUGCCCCCAACUUGGGUAUAAGCCUGGGAAACUGGGUCUAAUUCCCGAUAGGACUGCAGGGUGGUGCCUGUGGUGGAAAACGAUUUUCUAGUGGUUGGGGAUGAGCUCGCGGCCUAUCAGCUUGUUGGUGGGGUAAUGGCCUACCAAGGCGGCGACGGGUAGCCGGCCUGAGAGGGUGGACGGCCACAUUGGGACUGGGAUACGGCCCAGACGCCUACGGGAGGCAGCAGUGGGGAAUAUUGCACAAUGGGCGGAAGCCUGAUGCAGCGACGCCGCGUGGGGGAUGACGGCCUUCGGGUUGUAAACUCCUUUCGACCGCGAGGAAGCCACCUGGUUGGAAGGGUGGUGACGGUAGUGGUAGAAGAAGCACCGGCUAACUACGUG
rnacentral:rRNA from 1 species